rnacentral:lncRNA from 10 species
AGUUCUGGUAAUUAUUCUCUCACUGUGAUAGAGCAUUAAUGUGUUAUUACAGGUAGCACUAUACUACGGGUUAUCAAAUACCAGUAAGCAGUGUCUUCUCUUUCCUUCAUUAAUAGAUCUAGUGUUCUCAGCUAAAUUGGAGAGAAUCCAGCAAGUCUGAUCUACCCAUUUCUACACAUUUUCAUGUCUGGAAGAACAUGUGAGCCAUUCAUUGCUUUUUAAAUUUCUUGAAGAUAUUUAAUGAACUACUCUAAAAUUCCUGAACUUACUUGGCCAUGGAAUUCUUUUUAUUUAAAAAAUACUAUUAAUAGUCCCUUAAACUCUAUUCUAAUACAUAACUGUGGAUGUAAAACAGUGACAUAGUUAACCAAGAGGACAUUUCUAUUAACUUGGAUGCAAGAGGGAUCAGUAAAAAUCACCAGAGUAGACUCUCCUUAGUCUCUCAGUCUAAAUCUCAGGGAAUAGGUUUUUAAACUUUAGAAUCUAGUUAUGCAGCAUCUGUGUCUUUUCUUUAUGUCUCACUUUUCUUUCUUUCUCUUCUUUCUUUCUUUUUUCUUUCUUUUCCUUUCAGACUGUGAAACUGUGAGCCAAUUAAACCUCUUUUCUUUAUAAAUGACCUCACCUCAGGUAUUUCCUUAUGACAAUGUGAGAACACACUAAUACAAUCACUGUGUUUCCAAUUCUUAGCUAUUUUAAUAGUAUUGUAAUGAAUAUUUUUAUAGUCUCCUGUUUUUAAAAGAGCACGAAGAAGCUGGAACACAAUUUGUACAGUAGGUGAUCUGUGCAGCUAAUCACCAUGGCACACAUUUGACUAUUUAACAAACCUACACAUCCUGCACAUGUACCCCUGAACUUAAAAUAAAAGUUGGAAAUUAAAAAAAAAGUGGCAGGAGGUGUAGAAACAACAUUUUAUUGUUAAAGAUCUGAGGAUAUUUAACCUGGAGAAAAGAUGAUUGGGAGGUAAGUUGCCAAAUGGAAAUUUUCAUCUUUAAAGGGACUCUACAGGAAUAAUAUAGCUUAUUAUAUCUCAGACACUAUUCUCAGUGCUAUAUAUAUGUAUAUAUGUAUAUAUAUGUAUAUCAGUGUUUGAGCAUUUGUCACCUUCUUUGUCACUAAUUAUUCGUGUGAAGGUGCACAGAAUAGUUAGGUUUCAAGGCUCUAAUCUUUACAAAGUGAGAAUAUAUAUAUAUAUAUAUAUAUAUAUAUAUAUAUAUAUAUCAUUGUUCUUAAUCCUAACCAUAAUCCUAUAGUUACUUUUAUUAUACUAAUUAGGUGAAGAAACUGAGGCACAAAAGGGGUAUAUUAUUGUCCAAUAUUAAGUGGAAUAAAAAUAUUAAAAAGUGACUAGUAUUACCCACUAUUUUUUUUGUGCAAAAAGCAAUAUGGUUUAAUGGACAUAAUCCCGAUUACUCAAAAGCAAAGGUACAAAUAUAGACUCAUCCACUUAUUCACUAUUGACCUAUCUGACUUUGUUCUAGUCACAUGACUUUCUAUGCCUCAGACAUUUUUAAAAGGUUUAAAGGUGAUCAGUUUAGUUAUUUACAUAAGAAACAUGUAUUUACCCCUGAGCCAAGAUGGCUGAAUAGAACAGCUCUGGUCUACAGCUCCCAGCAUGAGCGACACAG